rnacentral:rRNA from 1 species
AGAGUUUGAUCAUGGCUCAGAUUGAACGCUGGCGGCAUGCCUAACACAUGCAAGUCGAACGGUAACAGGGGCUUCGGCCCGCUGACGAGUGGCGGACGGGUGAGUAAUACGUAGGAAUCUGCCCAUUAGUGGGGGACAACCCGGGGAAACCCGGGCUAAUACCGCAUACGCCCUACGGGGGAAAGCGGGGGAUCGUAAGACCUCGCGCUAAUGGAUGAGCCUACGUCGGAUUAGCUAGUUGGUAGGGUAAAGGCCUACCAAGGCGACGAUCCGUAGCUGUUCUGAGAGGAAGAUCAGCCACACUGGGACUGAGACACGGCCCAGACUCCUACGGGAGGCAGCAGUGGGGAAUCUUGGACAAUGGGGGAAACCCUGAUCCAGCAAUGCCGCGUGUGUGAAGAAGGCCUUCGGGUUGUAAAGCACUUUCGAUUGGGAAGAAAAGCUUGGCGCUAAUCAGCCAAGUCUUGACGUUACCAAGUGAAGAAGCACCGGCUAACUCUGUGCCAGCAGCCGCGGUAAUACAGAGGGUGCAAGCGUUAAUCGGAGUUACUGGGCGUAAAGGGCGCGUAGGCGGUUCGAUAAGUCGGGUGUGAAAGCCCCGGGCUUAACCUGGGAAUUGCAUUCGAUACUGUCGGGCUAGAGUAUGGUAGAGGAAAGCGGAAUUCCACAUGUAGCGGUGAAAUGCGUAGAUAUGUGGAGGAACAUCAGUGGCGAAGGCGGCUUUCUGGACUAAUACUGACGCUGAGGCGCGAAAGCGUGGGGAGCAAACAGGAUUAGAUACCCCAGUAGUCC